AAGGCGCUUUGUUGGGGAUUUCUUUCAGACAAAAAACAAAAACUAACAAAAAUUGACAAUGAGAAACUAAUCCCAAUGAGAGAGAGAGAGAUAGACAGACAGAGAUAAAGACAAAGAGAGAGAGAGAAAGAGAGAAAAGAGAUGUAUUUCAU